UACGGAGGAUCCGAGCGUUAUCCGGAUUUAUUGGGUUUAAAGGGUGCGCAGGCGGGAGAUUAAGUCGGCGGUGAAAUUUUGCAGCUCAACUGUAAAAGUGCCUUCGAAACUGGUUUCCUUGAGUGUAGAUGAAGUAGGCGGAAUUUGUGGUGUAGCGGUGAAAUGCAUAGAUAUCACGAGGAACUCCGAUUGCGAAGGCAGCUUACUAAGCUACUACUGACGCUCAGGCACGAAGGCGUGGGGAUCAAACAGGAUUAGAUAUCCGCGUA
rnacentral:rRNA from 1 species